rnacentral:rRNA from 1 species
GACGAACGCUGGCGGCGUGCUUAACACAUGCAAGUCGAGCGGUAAGGCCCUUUCGGGGGUACACGAGCGGCGAACGGGUGAGUAACACGUGGGUGACCUGCCCUCAGCUCUGGGAUAAGCCUGGGAAACCGGGUCUAAUACCGGAUAUGACUCCAUGACGCAUGUUGUGGGGUGGAAAGCCUUGUGCGGCUGAGGAUGGGCCCGCAGCCUAUCAGCUUGUUGGUGGGGNGAUGGCCUACCAAGGCGACGACGGGUAGCCGGCCUGAGAGGGCGACCGGCCACACUGGGACUGAGACACGGCCCAGACUCCUACGGGAGGCAGCAGUGGGGAAUCUUGCGCAAUGGGCGAAAGCCUGACGCAGCGACGCCGCGUGAGGGAUGACGGCCU